AGAACUAAAGCACCUUGCAAGGAAUGAAGUUGGUUCUUGAAGUCCGUGCUGACUGGCUGGGCGCAUUUGCGCAUUUGCUUCUCUGGCUGCAAAAUGGCCCGCAACAGCACUCACUAAUUUGUUGCUAACUUCAGGAACUGUGCGGACAGGUCUCUGAGGCUUCUGAGCCGCGCUAUGUCCAGUAGAUCUGGGCGCCUCAGAACCUGUCACAGCCGACGGAAGCGUUUAUCUGAGUUUCUUGUUUCUUCCCAACCUUUUGAUUUUCGCACCAUUACGCGCUCAACUAUGCCUCUUCUUUUGUCCUAUGGUCUCAACUAAUUAAAGGAAGAAAAGCAAUGCAUGUGUGUGUGUAAUUUUAAAGAAACUAUGCUGUCUUAUAGAAAACCAAACCAUCAUUUUUAUCUUUUGUACCAGGUAUUCAAGUAUGUUUUGAGCACCGACGGGCUGUGAACUGGACUGUGCUGAAAGCUCCUCUCCCUCUUCUCUCUUUAAGCCCUUUAUAUUUGACAUCAGCUUCCCCCACAUUCUCCAAAGCUUCUCUCACAAAUAAAGCCAGGUGCUCAGGCUGAGAAGAUUCAAGGAAAGGGUUCCUCACGUAGUUAUACAGUUGUGUUCCAGGGGAAGGAAAAUAUUGUUCGGUUUUGUUCUGCAAUUCCCCACGGUGGUUUUCGGUAAGACUUGAGACUUCCUUAUUCUAAAGUCCAAGCAGCAGUGGAAACAUUUCAAGAUCCCUUUUUGCAAUAUAACUUUUCCAAAGAUUCAAUAUUUAUUUAAACCCAAAAAUCUUGUCACUCGAAGUAAAACGAUUUUCUCCAGGGCCUGAAGAUCCUUGUUCAACUAGUUCAUGUGAUGAAAAUGUCUGUUAAGUAGGUGAUAUGGUUUGGAUGUUUGUUCCCUCCAAAUCUCAUGCUGAAAUUUGAUUCCCAGUGUCGUAGAUGGGACCUCGUGGGAGGUGAUUGGAUCAUGGGGGCAGAAUUCUCAUGAAUGGCUUAGCACCAUCCCCUUGGUGAUAAGUGAGUUUUCACUCAGUUCACUUGAGAUGUGGUUGUUUUAAGAGUCUGUGACCUCUUCUAUUUCUCUCUUGCUCCCACUCUUGCCAUGUGACAUGCUGGCUCCCCAUCACCUUCCGCCAUGAUUGUAAGCUUCUAGAGACCUCACCAGAAACUGAUGCCAGCACCAUGCUUCCUGUAAAGCCUCCAGAACCAUAAGCCAAUUAAACCUCUUUCUUUAUAAA
ensembl:lncRNA GAR1-DT GAR1 divergent transcript